UGUUUAUUGAAAUGGUGAAAUAUAUUGAUUGUGCAGGCUUAAAAUUUAUUUGAUAUUGUCAGCUUGAUUAGUAGAUAUUCCAUUCACGAAAACUUGAGGUGUGAACGGGAUUAGAUACCCCAUUAGUUCACGUAAUAAAUUAUGGCUUAUUGUGGUUUGAGAUUGUAUUUAACAAUUGAAGGAUGUAAACCUAAGAAGUAUGCUUUCAUAAGUGAAACUUAAAUGUUUUGGUGGUGAUUUAGAACAAUGGUGGAACAUAUGAUUUAAUUCGAUGUUAUGCGAUAAAGCUUAUCAAUUUUUGUUUUCUUUCCAUACCUUUUAGAAGGUAGAACUCUAUUCUCGGUAGUGCAUGGCUGUUUUUGAAGGUAAUGUUUUGUAAUAUCUGGUUCAGUUCAAUAAUAAUCGACACACU
rnacentral:rRNA from 1 species